ACGAAGGGUGCAAGCGUUACUCGGAAUUACUGGGCGUAAAGCGUGCGUAGGUGGUUCGUUAAGUCUGAUGUGAAAGCCCUGGGCUCAACCUGGGAAUGGCAUUGGAUACUGGCGACCUAGAGUGCGGUAGAGGGUAGCGGAAUUCCCGGUGUAGCAGUGAAAUGCGUAGAGAUGUGGAGGAACACCAGUGGCGAAGGCGGCUUCCUGGUCUGUCACUGACGCUGAGGCGCGAGAGCGUGGGGAGCGAACAGGA
rnacentral:rRNA from 1 species